CAGUUUAUUGAUCAUUCCCAGCUGCUGGGUGUGAUGUUUAAACGGCCUUUUUAAACACCCAGCAUCCUGGUGAAGCUUCAGCUGCAGGUUUACAGAAUAAAUUGCUCCAGGGUUGGAAGAGCAUACAGGCUUCCCGUUGUUCAUCUGGGAAUAGCAUACAGGCUUCCCCGUUGUUCAUCUGUUUACAUAGGCCACGGAUCACGGGCUGUUUCUUCCCAAGACCAGAAUGCUGGGCAUGACAAGAAGGAGGGACCCACAGGGGAGAGUGGGCCUAAGGAAUGGAGGAGCCUGGCCACCGUACCCCAGGUUAUCAGCCUCAAUGUGUACUCUAUUACCUUCAAGGGAAGGCGACGGCAUGAGUCUCGGAUGUGGUGCUCUCUAUGUGCUGAGUUUUCUGGCCUGAAUGGUGCUUCCAUCUUGGAGACAGUUGUGCUAAGGUCCCCGGGGGCCUACUAAAAUCUGAAGCUCUGUUACAAUUAUCCUCAUUCUCCGCAGUGCACAAAGACAGGUUUCACAAUUCUGUAGAAGUUGAACUGACUGGGCUGCACCCCUCAUUCCUGAUUACUUGGCUCAAAGCCUCCGCAGUCUCCCCCUGAAGAGCCUGAGAGCUACAAAACUCUUUCUCUAGGAGAGUGUCAGCACCACUGAGCGAGGAAGAGGCAAACAAUUAUUUUAAAAACUCAGGGCCAGGCUAGAGAGUUGGCUCAGAGGUUAAGAGCACUGGCUGCUCUUUCAGAGGUCCUGAAUUCAAUCCCCAGCAACCAUACAGUGACUCACAAUCAUCUAUAGUGGGAUCUGAUGCCCUCUUCAGGCAAAGUAUUCACACCUAAACAAGGAAAUCCUCGGGGCUACAAUGCUGCUCUUCUCUAUGAGAAACCUGAGGGAGGAUUUUGGAAUUUUGCACUGCCUGACAGGGCAGAAUAACCAUACAUGGGCAGUUUCUUGUGUAACUGUACAGCACGUGGAGUGGGUAGAAAGUCACAUAACUGUCAAGGUGACAUUAGCCCAUGCACCUGCUCUGAGCUUUGAGUGUGGUACCCGAACACCACAGACAAAGACAGAGGGACACAGACUCCUGAGUCGACCCUAUCUUGUGUCUCCCGAGAGCUUGAGAAGUUUGGUUUUGAUGUUCCUGAAAAUGAUAUGAUAUCAGUGACGUGUGGGACCUCCCCCUUCACUCUGAGGCUUUUAAAGGGGGAUUACACAACACAGAGCCACGGAAGGUGACUCAUCAGUCUGGACUGAAGUCCAGUAUUGAGGAAUACUCACUGAGGGCUUCCUAUGCACUAGGAACUUGGUGUAAGCCGAAAUAAACUCUUUUGUCUCCUAA